rnacentral:misc_RNA from 1 species
AGUGCAUUUAUCUGACCAAACCAAGUUAAAAACACAUCUGAGAAAGAAGUUCUGCCAGAACCAAAAUUACAAAGUACCCACGAUUUAUAGACAGAUAACUAAUGCAAAGAAAACUUCAUGAACAAAUUUUUUUCAUAAAAUGUGGAGAUACAAAUCAUAAUAAGUACUGAACCGAAAUAGCACAUAAAGGCCCCUUUAAAAGUGCUGAAAAUUGUAGACAGACAACUAUAAUCAUGUUCCAACGGUUAGAGACUCGGAUAAAAGUUUUAUAGUCGCGUACGUAAAAGAGACACUGCACUAAGUACAUCAUCACUACACUACCAAACGGAGCCAAAAU